UUCACAAAACGCUCCUCUCUUGCCAGCUUUGCAUCCAGAUGUGCAUGCUCCAUCUUGGUGAUUGCAGAUGUUGUUUACACAGUUCUUGCUGCACUGUUUGUUGCACGUGUCAUCAUACCAGCCUGGAAUACAUCCUUCAAGACAGCGUCCACUGGUCUUGUCACAGUAAACAAGGCCGCCAGCAGGAUAUACGUUGCAGCGCUCAGGACAGUUUGUGUCACAAUCGUCUCCGUAUCUUCCCGGUGGACAGAGUGCGCCACAUCCAACAUUCAGAAUGAGGAAAGCCGAUAGCUGGCUCAGUAUCAGCAUUUGGAAGUGAUAUACUGCUCCUUCAUCUUCCAUCUGCAAUGAUAUAUUGCACGGGUUACA